rnacentral:misc_RNA from 1 species
GAUGAAGAACGUAGCGAAAUGCGAUAAGUAGUGUGAAUUGCAGAAUUCAGUGAAUCAUCGAAUCUUUGAACGCACAUUGCGCCUUCUAGUAUUCUGGGAGGCAUGCCUGUUUGAGCGUCAUUAAACCUCUCUCAAGUAUGAUUACUUGGAUGUGAAGGAAGAGUACCUUAAACUUAAGGAGUGUUCUCCUUUGAAAUUGAUUAGCAGAUGGUAAUGUUAUUAAAUCCCUGAUGUUGUAAGAAAUAACAGUGGUUUGUAGACUAUUAUCUAGCUUUAAAUUAUAAUUUUUAUUAUGGUUGACCUCAAAUCAGGUAAGGAUACCCGCUGAACUUAAGCAUAUCAAUAAGCGGAGGA